UCCCUGGGAAGUUCAUCACUAAGGUCACAUGCUGGGUAUUUAUCAUUCAUGCUCAAUACUUUGUGAAAGGUCUGAGAGCCAAUAGCUGCCCUGUGGGUAUCACCUAAUACAGUUGGAUGAGUUUACUAGUAAGGCUGGGCCCUGACUUGGGCAUAUGCCUGAGAAACUGAGGGAAGAGAGGGUCUUUCUCUGCUGGAAGAUGCUAACUUCCCAAGAGUUUGGGGCAGACUUGUUGCUGAGCUCAGUAGGAUGAAAUGUAGCUAAUACCUUGUAUGGUCCUCCUAACCCAAUUCAGAUUAUUUUCCCUCUGA
ensembl:ribozyme RNaseP_nuc Nuclear RNase P